CCGCACAGCGGUGGAGUAUGUGGUUUAAUUCGAUGCAACGCGAAGAACCUUACCUGGUCUUGACAUCCCGGAGACCCUUAGGAAACUAGGGGGUGCUUCCAUCUGGAAGAAUCUGGAGACAGGUGCUGCAUGGCUGUCGUCAGCUCGUGUCGUGAGAUGUUGGGUUAAGUCCCGCAACGAGCGCAACCCUUGCCUUUAGUUGCCAGCAGUUCGGCUGGGCACUCUAAAGGGACUGCCGGUGUUAAACCGGAGGAAGGUGGGGAUGACGUCAAGUCCUCAUGGCCUUUAUGACCAGGGCUACACACGUACUACAAUGGCCGAUACAAAGGGCAGCGACACUGCGAGGUGAAGCCAAUCCCGUAAAAUCGGUCUCAGUCCGGAUUGGAGUCUGCAACUCGACUCCAUGAAGUUGGAAUCGCUAGUAAUCGUGGAUCAGCAUGCCACGGUGAAUACGUUCCCGGGCCUU
rnacentral:rRNA from 1 species